AAAAAGCUAUAUACAGGAGUAUAUAGCCACUCCCACCAUAUCUUCCAUUUCGUUCACACUAGACAGAGAUAUGCGUUUUAUAAAUACAUGAGAAGAAACGCUGUGCGCUGACAUCUUUUAUACCUCAUCACGUGCACGUUCCCAAUCUGCCACUUUGUAUAGAUAGCCGGAUUGAGACAAAAAGUUGUAUAGAAAUUUUUGCUCUCAUUUGGUUACACUCAUUACAUAGUUUUCUAAAGCGGUGAUAAGAGUGGCGGUAAGAGUGAAGCGGUGGUGGUGUAAUGGUUAAGAUGGGCAUCUUAACCAUUACACCACCACCGCCUGUGAAUCGAAAGGUCUAAGUAUUUCAGAGAUGAAAUUGAAAAUAAUAAAUCAAAAAUGACACAAAUAAAUCUUGAACUAAAAAAAUGUGAAAAACGGCUAACGGCUGUAAAGUUAUUGACAUCGACUAUUCAACUACAACUGGAUAUGAUGAAGUUAAUGUAUCACGAUCUUAUGGAAUUGAGGGAAAUUAUGAAAAUUUUACAUCCACACCUACGGACCCCGAGGUAAAAAUUAAGGCCAAAGAAUAAAGAACUUUUAACAAAUUUAACUUCAAGGUUUUAUCCUUUGAAACUGUUUGAAAAAGUUUUUGAUUUUAUUUGCACCGCAUAGUGGCGUGUUUACUCGUACAGUUUCGUCAAACUUUGAGUAAUCUAUCAUGUAACCCUUAUUCUUGCUAUACUCAACCACUGGAACAAAGCGAUGACCCCACAUGACUUCACUCGCGAUGUAGCUGGACUUCGCCUGCACCGGCUGACCAGUUGACUCUAUAAUGCCUUCGAAGACAACAAGGAUUUCUAGUUCAUAUUUCAAAAUGUCACGAGCAGAGAAUGUGUAAAACGGACUGGUUUUAUCUAUUUUAUGAAGAGCAGUAAUCGGGAACAUAAAUGAGAAAUCCUUACUGGCGUCGACGUUCAACUUCAGCACCAUUUGCUCAUUACUAGGCGUGUCAUCUCCGGCAGUGACACACCUUAUUAGAUAAGCGCGAAUAUUACAAGCUAUGAUCCUGGAUUUCCUAGUAUUACCCACCCGAAAUAACAAACACAAGUUUCUGUCUCUAUGGUUGAUUAUGGCGUUUUUUGAAAAUAUAAUGGUAUUCACUCGAUUUUUGGGUCUCGUCAACUUGGCAAAUAGAAUGCCAACAAUGAAAGACUGUACCAUAGUUCCGAGAAUGCUUUCAAUGCACAUAGUGAACAUAGCUUCUGGACAUUCCAUCGUGAGAGCGCGGUUUCCGUAGCCGACAGUUGUGUGGACUUCAAUACUGAAUAGGAAAAUUGACGUGAUCCCAUAAAUUUUUCGGAUGCAGGGUUCCCACGAUGUGUUAUUUAAUUUAUUAGGUAAAUUUUCCUGGUCCAUAUCGCCGUGCAGGUACAAAAUCGACCAAUAAAUUCCAGUGAAGAAAAGCCACACUGACAUGUAGGUGAAGAGGCAGUAGAGCAGGGUCCACCGCCACCUGGCUUCCACGAAGGUAGUGACGAUGUCUGGAAACACAUGAAACGUCGAAGUUUUACAUUUCUCCAAAUUGAACUGACCACAUUUCUUGACCACUCUUUGCUUAGUUUUGCAUGUUUUCCCAUAUCUUGGGCAUCUGAAAUAAAUGUACACACAAGUCAAUA